rnacentral:rRNA from 1 species
AACGGCGAGUGAAGCGGCAAAAGCUCAAAUUUGAAAUCCUGCGGGAAUUGUAAUUUGAAGGUUUCGUGGUCUGAGUCGGCCGCGCCCAAGUCCAUUGGAACAUGGCGCCUGGGAGGGUGAGAGCCCCGUMYGGCGCACGCCGACUCUUUGUACACCGCGGCUCCGACGAGUCGAGUUGUUUGGGAAUGCAGCUCUAAGUGGGUGGUAAAUUCCAUCUAAAGCUAAAUAUUGGCGAGAGACCGAUAGCGAACAAGUACAGUGAUGGAAAGAUGAAAAGCACUUUGAAAAGAGAGUGAAACAGCACGUGAAAUUGUUGAAAGGGAAGGGCUUGCAAGCAGACACGGUUUUACCGGGCCAGCGUCGAAAAGGGGGGAGGAACAAGAACUCGAGAAUGUGGCGCGCACCUUCGGGCGCGCGUGUUAUAGCUCGUGUUGACGCCUCCAUCCCUUUUCGAGGCCUGCGAUUCUAGGACGCUGGCGUAAUGGUUGCAAGCCGC